UACGGAGGGGGCAAGCGUUGUUCGGAAUCAUUGGGCGUAAAGGGCGCGUAGGCGGCCGUCCAAGUCGGGUGUGAAAUCCCUCGGCUCAACCGAGGAACUGCACUCGAUACUGGUCGGCUAGAGUCCGGGAGGGGAUGGUGGAAUUCCCAGUGUAGCGGUGAAAUGCGUAGAUAUCGGAAGGAACGCCGGUGGCGAAAGCGGCCGACUGGACCUCUUCUGACGCUGAUGCGCGAAAGCUAGGGGAGCGAACGGG
rnacentral:rRNA from 1 species